rnacentral:rRNA from 1 species
UGCUAUCUCUUACCCAUGUCUUUUGAGUACCUUCGUUUCCUCGGCGGGUCCGCCCGCCGAUUGGACAAUUUAAACCAUUUGCAGUUGCAAUCAGCGUCUGAAAAAACUUUAAUAGUUACAACUUUCAACAACGGAUCUCUUGGUUCUGGCAUCGAUGAAGAACGCAGCGAAAUGCGAUAAGUAGUGUGAAUUGCAGAAUUCAGUGAAUCAUCGAAUCUUUGAACGCACAUUGCGCCCCUUGGUAUUCCAUGGGGCAUGCCUGUUCGAGCGUCAUUUGUACCUUCAAGCUCUGCUUGGUGUUGGGUGUUUGUCUCGCCUCUGCGCGUAGACUCGCCUCAAAACAAUUGGCAGCCGGCGUAUUGAUUUCGGAGCGCAGUACAUCUCGCGCUUUGCAUUCAGAACGACGACGU